GACGAACGCUGGCGGCGUGCUUAACACAUGCAAGUCGAACGGAAAGGCCCUGCUUUUGUGGGGUGCUCGAGUGGCGAACGGGUGAGUAACACGUGAGUGACCUGCCCUUGACUUUGGGAUAACUUCAGGAAACUGGGGCUAAUACCGGAUAGGAGCUCCUGCUGCAUGGUGGGGGUUGGAAAGUUUCGGCGGUUGGGGAUGGACUCGCGGCUUAUCAGCUUGUUGGUGGGGUAGUGGCUUACCAAGGCUUUGACGGGUAGCCGGCCUGAGAGGGUGACCGGCCACAUUGGGACUGAGAUACGGCCCAGACUCCUACGGGAGGCAGCAGUGGGGAAUAUUGCACAAUGGGCGGAAGCCUGAUGCAGCAACGCCGCGUGCGGGAUGACGGCCUUCGGGUUGUAAACCGCCUUCGCCUGUGACGAAGCGUGAGUGACGGUAAUGGGUAAAGAAGCACCGGCUAACUACGUG
rnacentral:rRNA from 1 species